rnacentral:rRNA from 1 species
UACAGAGGGUGCAAACGUUGCUCGGAAUCAUUGGGCGUAAAGCGCACGUAGGCGGCCCAGCAAGUGGGGAGUGAAAGCCCUCGGCUUAACCGAGGAGGUGCUUUCCAAACUACUGGGCUUGAAUACUGGAGAGGGUCGCGGAAUUCCCGGUGUAGAGGUGAAAUUCGUAGAUAUCGGGAGGAACACCAGUGGCGAAGGCGGCGACCUGGACAGAUAUUGACGCUGAGGUGCGAAAGCGUGGGAGCAAACAGG